GACGAACGCUGGCGGCGUGCCUAAUACAUGCAAGUCGAACGCAGUGGCGGACGGGUGAGUAACACGUGGGUAACCUACCCAUCAGAGGGGGACAACAGUUGGAAACGACUGCUAAUACCGCAUACUGAAGGAGGGGAUUGCGUCUGAUUAGCUAGUUGGAGGGGUAACGGCCCACCAAGGCGAUGUUCAUGAGCCGGUCUGAGAGGAUGAACGGCCACAUUGGGACUGAGACACGGCCCAGACUCCUACGGGAGGCAGCAGUGGGGAAUAUUGGACAAUGGGCGAAAGCCUGAUCCAGCCAUGCCGCGUGUGUGAAGAAGGUCUUCGGAUUGUAAAGCACUUUAAGUUGGGAGGCGUUACCAACAGAAUAAGCACCGGCUAACUUCGUGCCAGCAGCCGCGGUAAUAC
rnacentral:rRNA from 1 species